UACGUAGGUGGCAAGCGUUGUCCGGAUUUACUGGGCGUAAAGAGCGCGCAGGCGGUUAUUCAAGUCGAAUGUUAAAGCCCCCGGCUUAACUGGGGAGGGUCAUUCGAUACUGUUUAACUUGAAGGCAGGAGAGGGUAGUGGAAUUCCCGGUGUAGUGGUGAAAUGCGUAGAUAUCGGGAGGAACACCAGUGGCGAAGGCGACUACCUGGCCUGUUCUUGACGCUGAGGCGCGAAAGCUGGGGGAGCAAACGGG
rnacentral:rRNA from 1 species